rnacentral:rRNA from 1 species
CUACGGGUUGCACCAGUGGGGAAUAUUGCACAAUGGGCGCAAGCCUGAUGCAGCCAUGCCGCGUGUAUGAAGAAGGCCUUCGGGUUGUAAAGUACUUUCAGCGGGGAGGAAGGGAGUAAAGUUAAUACCUUUGCUCAUUGACGUUACCCGCAGAAGAAGCACCGGCUAACUCCGUGCCAGCAGCCGCGGUAAUACGGAGGGUGCAAGCGUUAAUCGUAAUUACUGGGCGUAAAGCGCACGCAGGCGGUUUGUUAAGUCAGAUGUGAAAUCCCCGGGCUCAACCUGGGAACUGCAUCUGAUACUGGCAAGCUUGAGUCUCGUAGAGGGGGGUAGAGUUCCAGGUGUAGCGGUGAAAUGCGUAGAGAUCUGGAGGAAUACCGGUGGCGAAGGCGGCCCCCUGGACGAAGACUGACGCUCAGGUGCGAAAGCGUGGGGAGCAAACAGGAUUAGAUACCCUCGUAGUC